GACGAACGCUGGCGGCGUGCUUAACACAUGCAAGUCGAACGGAAAGGCCCUGCUUUUGUGGGGUGCUCGAGUGGCGAACGGGUGAGUAACACGUGAGUAACCUGCCCUUGACUUUGGGAUAACUUCAGGAAACUGGGGCUAAUACCGGAUAGGAGCUCCUGCUGCACGGUGGGGGAUGGAAAGUUUCGGCGGUGGUGGAUGGACUCGCGGCUUAUCAGCUUGUUUGGGGGGUAGUGGCUUACCAAGGCUUAGACGGGUAGCCGGCCUGGGAGGGUGACCGGCCACAUUGGGACUGAGAUACGGCGCAGACUCCUACGGGAGGCAGCAGUGGGGAGUAUUGCACAAUGGGCGGGAGCCUGAGGCAGCAACGCCGCGUGCGGGAUAACGGCCUUCGGGUUGUAAACCGCUUUCGCCUGUGACGAAGCGUGAGUGACGGUAAUGGGUAAAGAAGCACCGGCUAACUACGUG
rnacentral:rRNA from 1 species